GGUAAAGCUUGUAAAGGAGUAAAGCGCUUGUAUUGGUCGCCGGCGUUCUGACGUUCGGAUAACACGCUAUAAUGAACAGCUUUUUGUGUGUGAAUCAUUUACUGCACUUGCGCUGGCAGGUAUGACGUGUGAGCUGCACUUUUUCACCGAAUGUAAUCGUCGUCUGUUCGGCUGCCGUUCACAACAAGGAAGCCAGUAAUAACAAGCAAGCAAGCAUCUCCGUGGCUACGAGGUUUCUGCUGACGAAUUACGUGUCCUCGAGGGAUUCACCGCAGCGUUGUAUUGGUUGUAUCGUCGUCACCAAUGGAAAGUGUCUGAUGGAUGCCUGGCGUUGCAAUUGUAUUUACGUGUUGGCAAUCUGAUAACAAAGCAGCUGUAUUGGCACCAGUGUUACGACCAAAUAAGGGCUGAAGUCGCUGCACAGGCUUUACGGGACGCCCAGAGCAUGUUGAACUGGUUGAACACAGCAGAGCACCAAUGGUAUGGUAAUGGUUGGGCCCGAAUGGUAGGCAAGACGAUGCUGCAAAAAGGAAACCUGGAUGGAGGCUGCACAACAUUGGUCUGCUCUGAAUAGUGGGUUGCAGUGAUCAUGGUGUUUCUGCUCGGGUGUUUCAGGGUCCGCGGAGCAAGUUACCUGUAAACAUGAACAUGAAAGCAGAUGAGUGAAGAGAAAAGAACGGAUACAUAUGCUCAAUAUAUUACAUAAAUAUUCUGUUAAAAUAUGGUUUCUAAGAUCAUACUAAACGAAGUAUGUUUUUAUCAACAGUGCACCACCUGAGUUUAGUGGUUAGAUUCGGUAACUUCUAUUUUGUCUUUGUUUUACUCUCUCGCUCUUGUGUGCCGUCAGCGGCCAUAGGUAGUUAUCUUGCUUGAUGACAAUACGCACACCAAGUCAGAUGAGAAUGAACCCAGUUACGCAAUCCUGAAAUAUGCGAUAGCAUUUGGACCACACACGGACUGAGAUCUUUGUUAGUCCCAAUAAAGAAAAGUACUCACACUUUUGCACGGUUUAGGUGGAUGGUCUUUCCCCGGUGUGGACACGUACUGUGAUGGUGCUACACCUUGAUUCAAACGACA